rnacentral:rRNA from 1 species
UUGAACGCUGGCGGCAUGCCUUACACAUGCAAGUCGAACGGCAGCACGGGGGCAACCCUGGUGGCGAGUGGCGAACGGGUGAGUAAUGCAUCGGAACGUGUCCUCUUGUGGGGGAUAACCAGUCGAAAGAUUGGCUAAUACCGCAUGAGAUCGAGAGAUGAAAGCGGGGGACCGCAAGGCCUCGCGCGAGAGGAGCGGCCGAUGCCGGAUUAGCUAGUUGGUGGGGUAAAAGCCCACCAAGGCGACGAUCCGUAGCUGGUCUGAGAGGACGACCAGCCACACUGGGACUGAGACACGGCCCAGACUCCUACGGGAGGCAGCAGUGGGGAAUUUUGGACAAUGGGCGCAAGCCUGAUCCAGCCAGGCCGCGUGUGUGAAGAAGGCCUUCGGGUUGUAAAGCACUUUCGGACGGAACGAAAUCGCGCGGGUUAACAGCGCGCGUGGAUGACGGUACCGUAAGAAGAAGCACCGGCUAACUACGU